rnacentral:rRNA from 1 species
AUGCCUGAAGGGAUAAAUGAUACAACUAUUGUUCUUAUUCCUAAGGUGAAGAAUCCUCAGUCCAUAAAAGACUUCCGUCCAAUCAGUCUUUGUAAUGUGAUUUAUAAGAUUAUCUCUAAGUGCCUGGUCAACAGACUAAGACCUCUGCUAGAUGGUAUGAUUUCUCCUACCCAAAGUGCAUUCAUCCCUGGAAGAUCAAUAUCUGAUAAUGCACUUAUCGUG